rnacentral:rRNA from 1 species
CGGCAAACGGCGUAGUUAUGCGUAGGUUACGUACCCUCAGGUUCGGGAUAGCCACGGGAAACUGCGGGUAAUACCCGAUGAUGUCUGUGGACCAAAGGUGUGAUACCGCCUGAGGAGCGGCUUACGUGAUAUUAGCUUGAUGGUGGGGUAACGGCCUACCAUGGCGACGAUGUCCAGGGGGUGUGAGAGCAUGGCCCCCACGACCGGAACUGAGAUACUGUCCGGACACCUACGGGUUGCUGCAGUCGAGAAUCUUCCGCAAUGGGCGAAAGCCUGACGGAGCGACGCCGCGUGCGGGAUGAAGGCCCUUGGGUUGUAAACCGCUGUCAGAGGGGAUGAAAUCAUGGUUGGUUAUCCUUCCAUGUUGACAGAGCCUCGAAGGAAGCACGGGCUAAGUACGUGCCAGCAGCCGCGGUAACACGUACUGUGCGAACGUUAUUCGGAAUCACUGGGCUUAAAGGGUGCGUAGGCGGUUUAUCAAGUCAGAUGUGAAAUGCCUGAGCUCAACUGAGGCACUGCGUUUGAAACUGAUAGACUUGAGUAUUCCAGGGGUAUGCGGAACUGCCAGUGGAGCGGUGAAAUGCGUUGAUAUUGGCAGGAACACCAGUGGCGAAGGCGGCAUACUGGGGGAUAACUGACGCUGAGGCACGAAAGCCAGGGUAGUGAACGGGAUUAGAUACCCCGGUAGUCCUGGCCGUAAACGAUGAGCACUGG